UUUUCCAGAGAAAACAAUCCUCAAUCAGGUUAUCCAAAAAUCUCCAAAUGCAAUAGAUGCAAUAGGCAGGCGUUAGGCCACCUUUGCCAGGAAUGAAGAAGAACAGAUUAAAGAAACGUAGCAGAUUUAGCUACUUGCAAGAAAUAAAUGAUGAUUUGCUGAUGCA